UACGUAGGUGGCAAGCGUUGUCCGGAUUUACUGGGCGUAAAGAGCGCGCAGGCGGUCGUUCAAGUCGCGUGUGAAAGCCCCCGGCUCAACUGGGGAGGGUCACGCGAUACUGAUCGACUCGAAGGCAGGAGAGGGAAGUGGAAUUCCCGGUGUAGUGGUGAAAUGCGUAGAUAUUGGAAAGACCACCAAUGGCGAAGGCACUCUACUGGGCCAUUACUGACACUGAGAGACGAAAGCUAGGGGAGCAAAUGGG
rnacentral:rRNA from 1 species